GGGUCAGUGAGGGCGCUGGGGCGUCAGGUCAGUCAGGGCAGCUGGGUCAGUCAGGGCGGCUGGGGGGUCAGGUCAGUCAGGGCAGCUGGGUCAGUGAGGGCGCUGGGGGGUCAGGUCAGUCAGGGCAGCCGGGUCAGUCAGGGCGGCUGGGGGGUCAGGUCAGUCAGGGCGGCUGGAUUCUGCCGUCAAAGCUCCGUGCGCACAGGUUGGUCAUCUAACGUGGGGAACACGUCCGUGUGCCUGGCCCCUCAGGACGGUUAGUGCAAUGACUGUCUCCCUCACUGCGGAGUCCGCAGAGCGUGGUGUGUGCAGGUCUGAGGCGUACGUGGUGGCAAGUGCAUGUGCGCCAAGGGGGAGUGUGUGUUGUGGCUCUUUCCGGGCAGCUGCGUGAGGAGCCCGUGCCACCUGGUGAGGCCCAUCGUGCAUGUUCAUAGGGUACCUGCCGCUUUGGAGGACGUGAGGGGCUCGCAGGGUGAAGGGGACACGUCCGUUGUCUGGUAACGGGCCGGGCAGUGCCCGCUGGACCGCAUGGACGGGCUCCGACAGAAAACGCUUGCCUGGCGUGACCGACAGGGCGCCCACACGCGACUGUUGCUGGAACUGUUACAUUGCGUCGUCAUCUCUUGGGUUUUUGAUUAAAAUGACAAUUGGAGACACGACUUCCCGAUUCUGUCUGGAUCCGAGUUCUGGACCGGUCGGCUCGGAAGCCCCUGCUGUCACGUUUUGGUUCCGUUGUGUUAAUUGCCGUGUGGUGGUGACGCGAGCCGCGGCGGCCGGCGGACCGCGUGGUCUUACAAAGCCACCUGCCAUUUCGGAGCCUCCUCUGUGACACGAGGACCUGGUUCCCUGAACAGCGCGGCCGGCAGCUUGGGCCAGGCCCUCGGCGGUCUCGGCGCGUGCCCAGCCCGUGCAGCCCUCUCGGCCCGCACGCGGCUGACUCCAGGCACUGGCUUGUAAGCCGAGGAUAUGGCGACAGGUGAUGAGACGUCACCUUCCUCAUCGCCCUCAAGGACGCUGGCUUCCGUCCCGCCGCCCGCCCACCGCCUGUCCCCUUGGAUCCGACGGAGCCGACGUGGCCAAGAACGGAAGGGGGCCUCACCCCAAACUCCCAGAGGACUAAGUCCCUCCGAAAACUGUGCAGGCGCCGCGGAGACAGACCCCCGCCCCCGAGUCUUCGGCUGAGGCCUCGGCCUUACCACCGCCCCCGAUGCCGCUACUGCAGCCCCGUGAGAGGCCCCGAGGAAGUGGGGGUGAGCCACGCCUCAACUCCUGAUGUGCAGACGCGGAGACAUAAACGUUCACUGUUUGAGCUCAGAGAGUCUCGUGUUCUGGUCCUCAAUCUGCUGUCUCUUUCUGCUCCUUGGAGGUCAUCACUUCCGUGUUUAUUAUGCCCUGAAGACUUCUUUCCAUGUCUUCUUUGCCCUGAAAUUUAGUGAACAUUCAAAUUCUGGUAGCAAGACAAUGACCACCGUCUAAUCUCCUUUUCAACUUCAUUUCCCUUUUUAAUUACCUCUUUGAAGAUAGAAAUAUAUCUGAAAAAAAAAUUAAAAAUAAAAGAAAAAAACAAAACA
rnacentral:lncRNA from 12 species